CACGAACGCUGGCGGCGUGCUUAACACAUGCAAGUCGAACGGAAAGGCCCUGCUUUUGUGGGGUGCUCGAGUGGCGAAAGGGUGAGUAACACGUGAGUAACCUGCCCUUGACUUUGGGAUAACUUCAGGAAACUGGGGCUAAUACCGGAUAGGAGCUCCUGCUGCAUGGUGGGGGUUGGAAAGUUUCGGCGGUUGGGGAUGGACUCGCGGCUUAUCAGCUUGUUGGUGGGGUAGUGGCUUACCAAGGCUUUGACGGGUAGCCGGCCUGAGAGGGUGACCGGCCACAUUGGGACUGAGAUACGGCCCAGACUCCUACGGGAGGCAGCAGUGGGGAAUAUUGCACAAUGGGCGGAAGCCUGAUGCAGCAACGCCGCGUGCGGGAUGACGGCCUUCGGGUUGUAAACCGCUUUCGCCUGUGACGAAGCGUGAGUGACGGUAAUGGGUAAAGAAGCACCGGCUAACUACGUG
rnacentral:rRNA from 1 species